UUCCUGCUCAUUUCUUAUUAACCAAGCUUUUGAUUCCAUGGGUAUGUCAGGGCACCCUGACCAAGGAUUAUCAAGACCCAGUUGAACCUCACAUAAUGCUUAAGACAUCAGCCUACCGUAUUACAAUCCACAGCUUUAAAAACCUUGGAAAUUAAGGGACUUUACAUGGAAAAGGAUGCCUCAGAGAAGAUUUCCCUCAGCUACACUGUCUUCUGUGAUUUGGCCAACAGCGGGCUCCACCCCAGAAGGGUUGGAAAAUGCAGCGUUGACCCCAACAUGCUUUCUGCCUUUCUGACAAAGGUGCAUUUUAGUCAGACCAGCAAAGGAGCCCAUCCAAAAGGGCAGGCAAAGGCAUUCUCAUGCAGCAGUUGGGAAUACAGAGGGGAUGCUUCAAUCUCAAGGACGCUUUUUGGGUCAUGAGGUGAUGCGGUGAGGAUGAUGGGACAGCGAAAUACAAGAGGCCUGGGUCCCUGCUGACCAUGGAGCCUGCGAGCCAGUCCUGGAUUGCCCACGUGCAGAUGGAUGUUUCACGAAAGAGAAAUAAAGAUCUGUCCCGUUUA